UAAUCUGCGAUAAGCGUCGGUGAGGUGAUAUGAACCGUUAUAACCGGCGAUUUCCGAAUGGGGAAACCCAGUGUGUUUCGACACACUAUCAUUAACUGAAUCCAUAGGUUAAUGAGGCGAACCGGGGGAACUGAAACAUCUAAGUACCCCGAGGAAAAGAAAUCAACCGAGAUUCCCCCAGUAGCGGCGAGCGAACGGGGAGCAGCCCAGAGCCUGAAUCAGUGUGUGUGUUAGUGGAAGCGUCUGGAAAGGCGUGCGAUACAGGGUGACAGCCCC
rnacentral:rRNA from 1 species